AUGCAAGUGGAGUCAAUCUGUAUGAAGAAGAGUUUCUGGGGGGUUGAUGAGGUGGCUGGCAGCCGUUGCUUGACAAGUUGCCUUCGAGGUUCCAAUUGCGAAAAAGAAGACGACCUGACAAUGGGAUGUGUGAGGGUUCUGAAGACGCAGAUCAUAUGUUCUUUGAAUGUGUUGCUGCCAGAUUCAUGUGAGUUGCUAGGUAGAGAUGACCUUUGUGCUUUGGUUCAGGGGGUUGCUAGGAGAGUUUUAAGCAGUUCUGAAUCGUGCUUGCUACUGAAUUCCGGGCUUUAUGUAAGAUGUGUGAUAAUAUGGUUUUUGAACGAAAAUUUUGCGAACCAUCCCUCUGAUUACUUGCUCGCGACGCCCAUCUAUUUUGCAGCGAAUGGUUUUUGA
rnacentral:rRNA from 1 species